AGGAUGAACACUAGCGACAGGCCUAACACAUGCAAGUCAGGGGCAGCACAAGGAGCAAUCUGAGGUGGCGACCGGCGCACGGGUGAGGUAACACGUAUGCAACCUGCCUGUAAGCGGGGAAUAACCCGUUGAAAGACGGACUAAUACCGCAUAAUACUAAAUUACUGCAUGGUAAUUUAUUUAAACAUUUUAUGGCUUACAGAUGGGCAUGCGCAUGAUUAGCUAGUUGGAGAGGUAACGGCUCCCCAAGGCAACGAUCAUUAGGGGUUCUGAGAGGAAGGUCCCCCACACUGGUACUGAGACACGGACCAGACUCCUACGGGAGGCAGCAGUGAGGAAUAUUGGUCAAUGGACGAGAGUCUGAACCAGCCAAGUCGCGUGCAGGAAGAAUGUCCCUAUGGAUUGUAAACUGCUUUUGCAGGGGAAUAAAGUGCAUCACGUGUGAUGUUUUGUAUGUACUCUGCGAAUAAGGAUCGGCUAACUCCGUGCCAGCCGCCGC
rnacentral:rRNA from 1 species